rnacentral:rRNA from 1 species
UACGUAGGGGGCAAGCGUUGUUCGGAAUUACUGGGCGUAAAGGGCUCGUAGGCGGUUUGUCGCGUCGGGAGUGAAAACCUUGGGCUUAACUCAGGGCUUGCUUUCGAUACGGGCAGACUAGAGGUAUGCAGGGGAGAACGGAAUUCCUGGUGUAGCGGCGAAAUGCGCAGAUAUCAGGAGGAACACCGGUGGCGAAGGCGGUUCUCUGGGCAUGAUCUGACGCUGAGGAGCGAAAGUGUGGGGAGCGAACAGG